ACCUGUAUAAAAAAAAAAAGAAGAAAAAGAAAAAAAGACUGAGAAAGGGUGGUAAGGUAUUGUAGCAAUCCAGUGGUGAUUUCAACAAUACAGAGCAGAAGCAGCUAUUCAAUUCUCAACAACAACAACAGAAGCACUCAGCACACAACAGUUAAAUCCACACAUCAAAUCGCAAACCCUAAUUCAUUUCAUUUCCCUCUUUUCUCCCUCCAAGCAAGGGUCACUCGCAUUUGGAAUUGGCGACCAAAAUGCAAGGGUGGUUCUCGGCACCGAGCGGUGGUGAGGAGGAGGCGAAACCCUCGUCGUCAUUGCUUGCCGAUUGGAACUCCUACGCCACCGCCCAAUCCUCCCAGGACAGCUCCAAUUUGGGUCUUUCCUUCGAUCUCGAAUCCGCCGUCAGGUCCGCCAACGACACCGUUUCAGGCACCUUCAGCGUGUUUGGUCACUUAUCUGAAAUGGCUUCAAUAGGUUCUGCUCCUUUCUUUUCGGCUACUUCGACCAUUACAAGUGCAAGGCUCAAUUGGAAGAAUUAUUUGUCUUGGUCUGCCUCUGUUGAAUUAUGGUUCCUUGGUCGAGGAUACCAUGACCACUUAGAAACUGAACUCAACUCUAUUCCUGAUGCAAACAAAUCCCAAUGGCAAAAGAUUGACUUCCAACUAUGUGCUGUUUUAUGGCAGUCAGUUGAGCCUGAUGUCUUAAAGUUGCUCCGAUCCUUCAAAACUUGUUUCUCUUUUUGGAAGAAUGCACAAAUUUUUUUUGCUAAUAAUAUCCAGUGUCUCUUUGAUGCAACUGAAAGAUUGACUUCUCUCAAACAAACCAACCAUGAUAUGGUCUCUCAUAUGAUUGAGGCUAGGGAUGCGGUAGAAGAAGUUAAAAGAUUCCUAGUGGCAGACUCAUUAGAGGAACUCAAUAAGAAACUUGAUAGAUAUUAUAUGGUCUUGAUUUUGAGACACCUACAUUCAAAUUUUGAUCAUGUUCGUGAUCAAAUUCUAACUAGUGAUCAAAUCCCUUCUAUGGAUGAUUUAAUCACUAGAUUCAUCCGUUUGCCUUACCUUAUUAAAGAUGACAAUCAACAUGAAAUUAUUGAAAAUUCUACCAUGACUUCAAUAGGUUCUGCUCCUUUCUUUUCGACUACUCCGACCAUUACAAGUGCAAGGCUCAAUUCGAGGAAUUAUUCGUCUUGGUCCACCUCUGUUGAAUUAUGGUUUCUUGGUCAAGGAUACCAUGACCACUUAGAAACUGAGCUCAACUCUAUUCCGGAUGCAAACAAAUCCCAAUGGCAAAAGAUUGACUUCCAACUGUGUGCUGUUUUAUGGCAGUCUGUUGAGCCUAGUGUGUUCCAGAUGUUCCGAUACUACAAAACUUGUUUCUCUUUUUGGAAGAAUGCAAAAAAUUUUUUUGGUAAUGAUAUACGAUGUCUCUUCGAUGCAACUAGAAGAUUGACUUCUCUCAAACAAACCAACCAUGAUUUGGUCUCCCAUAUGGUAGAGGCUAGGGAUGCGGUAGAAGAAGUUAAAAGAUUCCUAGUGGCAGACUCAUUAGAGGAACUCAACAAGAAACUUGAUAUAUAUUAUGUGGUCUUGAUUUUGAGAAGCCUACAUUUAGAUUUUGAUCAUGUCCGUGAUCAAAUUCUAAUUGGUGAUCAAAUCCCUUCUGUGGAUGGUUUAAUUACUAGACUCAUCCAUUUGUCUAACUUGAUGAAAGAUGACGAUCAACAUGAAAUUAUUGAAAAUUCUACAAUGGUAGUCCCUUGUGGAAGAGGAGGAGGUCGGAACAUACGAGGAGAACGUGGUGGUAAGAGUGAACGUUUAAAAUGCUCAUAUUGCAAGAGAAUGGGUCAUACUCAAAAAAAUUGUUAUUCCUUGCAUGGUUUUCCAAUAAAAGCUGGUCAUGUGUCUAAAUUUGAAAGAUCAAAAUCUAAAUUUUUUUAUGGAGAGUAUCAAGAAUUUUUGAGGUACAAGUAUGAGAAAUCAAUCAAUGAAGGUCAAUCCUCUUCAAUUCCAAGUGUGUCAACUACAUGCAUUUCUCAAUUUCUGGAAGGUCAUAGUCCAUAGAUUCUUCAUUCAGGUGCCUUGGACCAUAUUUAUGGAGCAUGGUACGAGUUGUCUAAUUAGAGAAGGAUACGAGUCAUGGGGUCUUUAUUAUCUAAAACAAUGUCCUUUAAUAUCUUGUUUUGCAACUCCAACUUGAAAACUUUUACAUGAUCGUUUGGUUCACUCAAGUUUAUCAAAAUUGAAGAUGAUGGUUCCUAGUCUCAAACACAUCCAAGCAUUAGAUUGUGAUAGAUUGUGAAUCUUGUCAGUUAGAAAAACAUGUUAGAUCUUUUCCUAAAAUGUUUGAAGCACAAUGUCUUUCUGUUUUUUCUAAUACUCAUUUUGAUAUUUGAGAACCAAGUUGUGUUGCUUCUUUUGGUUUCAUUUAUUUUGUAGCUUUCAUUGAUGAUUUCUCUUGACAUACUUUAGUUUACUUAUUGAAAGAUAGAUCUGAACUUUUAUCCAUUUUUAGCUCUUUCUUCGGUGACCAUAAAAACCAAUUUGGAAAGACAAUAAAAUUUCUCAGAGGUGAUAGGGACUAUUUUUCUGUUGUGUUUUCUUCAUUCUUAUUUUCUCAAGGAAUUUUACACCAGUCAACACGUUCUCAUACUCAACAACAAAAUGGUAUAACAAAAAGGAAAAAAAAAAUCUUAUUGAAAUUGCACACUCUCUAAUAUUGAAUAAUAAUGUCCCUGUUCAUCAUUAGGGAGAUGUAGUACUAACUAAGUGUUUCUUAAUCAACAUGAUGCCUUCUUCCUCCCUUGAGAAUGAAGUUCCAUGUUCUAUAAUUAUUCCAAAUGAUCCUCUAUACGAUGUCUCUUCACGUGUUUGGAUGUACUUGUUUUAUUUAUAGUGUCUCUCCAAAUCUUGAUAAGCUUUUUGCAAAGGCUAUUAAAUAUGUCUUUUUGGAAUAUUCUCUCCUUUAGAAAGGGUAUAAAUGUUACUCUCCCUCAACUUGAAGGUAUUAUAUGUUUGCUAAUGUUAUCUUUUUUUAGGACACCCUUACAUUCUUGUCCUCCAUGGAACAUUCUUUAUUUGUUUAGUAGGUCCUUCAUGUACCAUAUGUGAUUCAUUGAUUAUUCCUUCUUCCUCUCAAAUUGAAGUUUGAAGUAUAGAUGACAUUGUUCCAUCGCCUCUUCUCACAUACCGGUGUUAUGCACAAAUCACUCAUUUCUUGCCUGAAGAUACUUGUGACUUAGAUCCUUCAUCCUCAUUGACUUCUCCUGACUUUGACCAUGCUUGACCUUUUGCUCUUAGAAAAGGGUUUCCAAAGGCGUGAGAGAUCUACCUGGCAAUUUUCAGUCUGCUACUAGUAAUGUGCCUUCUGGCAAAGCACUUGUAUAUU